GAUAAACGCUGGCGGCGUGCCUAAAACAUGCAAGUCGUGCGGUAACAGACCUUCGGGUGCUGACGAGCGGCGGACGGCUGAGUAACACGUUGGAACCCACCCCAGAGUGAGGGAUAACUGCCCGAAAGGGUAGCUAAUACCGCAUACGCUCUAAGGAGUAAAGCUAUUAGCGCUUUGGGAGGGGCCUGCGUUCGAUUAGGUUGUUGGUGAGGUAAUGGCUCACCAAGCCGAUGAUCGAUAGCUGGUCUGAGAGGAUGAUCAGCCAGACUGGAACUGAGACACGGUCCAGACUUCUACGGAAGGCAGCAGUUAGGAAUUUUCCACAAUGGGCGAGAGCCUGAUGGAGCAACGCCGCGUGCAGGAUGAAGGCCUUAGGGUUGUAAACUGCUUUUAUCUGCGAAGAUUAUGACGGUAACAGAUGAAUAAGCCUCGGCUAACUCCGUGCCAGCAGCCGCGGUCAUACGGAGGAGGCAAGCGUUAUCCGGAUUUACUGGGCGUAAAGAGUUGCGUAGGUGGUCUUUUAAGCAAAUAGUGAAAUCUUGUGGCUCAACCAUAAGGCUAUUAUUUGUACUGGGAGACUUGAGAGUGAGAGAGGUGGCUGGAAUUCCCUGUGGAGGAGUGAAAUCCGUAGAUAUAGGGAGGAACACCAAUGGCGUAGGCAGGCCACUGGCUCAUUUCUGACACUAAGGCACGAAAGCGUGGGGAGCGAACGGGAUUAGAUACCCCGGUAGUCCACGCCGUAAACGAUGGAUGCUAGCUGUGAUGCGUAUCGACCCGUGUCGUAGCGAAGCUAACGCGUUAAGCAUCCCGCCUGGGGAGUACGAACGCAAGUUUAAAACUCAAAGGAAUUGACGGGGACCCGCACAAGCGGUGGAGCGUGUUCUUUAAUUCGAGGCUAAGCGAAGAACCUUACCCAGACUUGACAUCCUAGGAAUUUCUGCGAAAGCAGAGAGUGCUUUAUUGAACCUAGUGACAGGUGCUGCAUGGCCGUCGUCAGCUCGUGUCGUGAGAUGUUUGGUUAAGUCCAUUAACGAGCGCAACCCUUAUGAAUAGUUGGAUUUUUCUAUUCAGACUGCCCCGGUAACGGGGAGGAAGGAGGGGAUGAUGUCAGGUCAGUAUUGCCCUUACGUCUGGGGCUAGAAACGCGCUACAAUGGCCGGUACAAUGCGCCGCCAACCCGCGAGGGGGAGCAAAUCGCAUCAAAGCCGGUCCCAGUUCGGAUAGCAGGCUGAAACUCGCCUGCUUGAAGCCGGAAUCGCUAGUAAUCGUGGGUCAGAACACCACGGUGAAUACGUUCCCGGGUCUUGCACACACCGCC
rnacentral:rRNA from 1 species